AGUAAACAAGUUGAAGGCUGAACGUCAGGUCGAGAUACUUGACUGGAACCAACCCAUGCCUGGCCCUCUCAGAAGGAGGAUCAUUGACACCCCCUUCAAGCGAAGACAAAACAAAAGCUUGGUUUACAACUUUAUACUAGAAAGGAGGACCCAAUUGAACACUUUAACCUCUUUGAGUCCACCAUGGCAUAUCGGAUGCACACCAAUGAAAAGCGAUGUCUUCUCUUCCUCUCCACCCUCUCUGGCGGAGGUCUAAACUGGUAUUGCCAUCUUCCACCUGAGACAGUUGACUCAUUUGAGGAACUGAGGAAACUGUUUGUCUCUC
rnacentral:lncRNA from 1 species